CCCUUAGACGUUCUGGGCCGCACGCGCGCUACACUGACCAGUGCAACAAGCAUCCGUCCUUGGCCGACAGGCUCGGGCAAUCUUUGAACGCUGGUCGUGAUGGGGAUAGACUUUUGCAAUUUUUGGUCUACAACGAGGAAUUCCUAGUAAACGCAAGUCAUCAACUUGCAUUGAUUACGUCCCUGCCCUUUGUACACACCGCCCGUCGCACCUACCGAUUGAAUGGUCCGGUGAAGCCUCCGGAUUGGCGCGCACCUCGGUGCCGCCGAGAAGUUGGCUAAACCUUACCAUUUAGAGGAAGGUGAAGUCGUANCA
rnacentral:rRNA from 1 species